CCGUAUAGGGGAGCCGGAGGGAAACCGAGUCUUAACCGGGCGUUAAGUUGCAGGGUAUAGACCCGAAACCCGGUGAUCUAGCCAUGGGCAGGUUGAAGGUUGGGUAACACUAACUGGAGGACCGAACCGACUAAUGUUGAAAAAUUAGCGGAUGACCUGUGGCUGGGGGUGAAAGGCCAAUCAAACCGGGAGAUAGCUGGUUCUCCCCGAAAGCUAUUUAGGUAGCGCCUCGUGAAUUCAUCUCCGGGGGUAGAGCACUGUUUCGGCUAGGGGGCCAUCCCGGCUUACCAACCCGAUGCAAACUGCGAAUACCGGAGAAUGUUAUCACGGGAGACACACGGCGGGUGCUAACGUCCGUCGUGAAGAGGGAAACAACCCAGACCGCCAGCUAAGGUCCCAAAGUCAUGGUUAAGUGGGAAACGAUGUGGGAAGGCCCAGACAGCCAGGAUGUUGGCUUAGAAGCAGCCAUCAUUUAAAGAAAGCGUAAUAGCUCACUGGUCGAGUCGGCCUGCGCGGAAGAUGUAACGGGGCUAAACCAUGCACCGAAGCUGCGGCAGCGACGCUGAUGCGUUGUUGGGUA
rnacentral:rRNA from 1 species